AUUAUUGAGAAAUUAACAUUGUUAGUAUAUAAUAAUUAUGAAAACAAAAAAUUAUGGCGGUACUUUAAGCUUUUCAGAGGAAUUUGCUCUAUUAUGGAUAAAACACCUAAAUCUUACUAAAACUAGUAAAGACAGUUUGUAUACCACUAUAAAAGUAAUAAUUAAUAUUUAUUACUUUAAUUUUUAAUUCAAAAAUGAAAAUUAAGUCAAGGUGCAGCAAAAGUUUUAGGUUGAAGUGAAUUACAUUUCUUUUGAGAAAAUUAUUAAAUGAAAUCAAUAUUUAGGAUUUGAAAGUAAAAAUUUAAUAAAAUGGAAUUUUGAAUAAAGUUCUGAAGUAUGUAC
rnacentral:rRNA from 1 species